ensembl:lncRNA
AGAAAGGUUUCUGUGCAGCCAACAGCCCCCCAAACACCCCACCCCCCAGCAAAAUCCUCCAAAAAAUACGAAUAAAAGUGCACUACGUGGCAGGACUGCCGGAGCUGGGGUGUCUUGGAAAGAUUUAGUAUUCCUUUUGCUUCAUAUUAGGGUUCUACCCCCACCAUACAGCCUCUCCUUUUUCGCGCUUGGCACACGAAGGAAGGCAGACGUCCCCGCUCCUCAUCUGUAAUCUUACCACUGGCCAAUUAAUAAGAUAAUGAUAAUACAGUAUUUCAGCUUCUUUUAUUUAUUCUGAUAGUCUUGGCGCAAGGCAGUGCAGGCAAAUCCCAAGGAGGAAAUUUUGAUAUUUCAAGACUGUCCUCGGUUUGUCUUCCUGCUUACGGAAGGAGGAGGAGAAGGAAGAAGAGGAGGAGAAGGAGGAGAAGGAAAAGCAGAACAAGGAAGAAAAAGAGAAGGAACAGAAGGGAGAGAUGCCGCUGGAGCCGUUGAACAUGCCUCUUAAUUUAAAAAAAUAAUAAUAAUAAUAAUAAUAAUAAUAAUAAUAAUAAACCACUGGUAAAAAGCACAAGAAAAAAAAAAACGUUUGCAACCAGAGAGAUCUUAUGUAGAAAAAAGCACCAAUGCUUUGCAGUCAAACUUUCAUUCCCUUCGGUUUUCUGGUUGAAUUUUUCUUCUUAGAUAUUUCUCUCCCGUUGUUUUUUCAUUUAGGAGCAUUUCCAGUUUUCUUCUGCUCUGACUUCAGCCUUGCUUUUUAAAAAUAUAGUGAGCAAUUUCUUGCCUGCCGUUUCUUCCUAACCUCUUUCUCUCUCGCUGUUUUCUCUUUCUCUCUCUCUCUCUCUCUCUCUCUCUCUCUCUCUCUCUCUCUAACCUAUCUCUCUCUUCUCUGCUUUCCCUCUUCAGUCUUAGAUGCAGCUUCUGGGAUCUCUGCUGGCAGUUUCUGAGCUCUGAGCGCUCAGCUUCUCUGUUUUUGCGCAGCGCCCUCCAUCUGCCAACCAAUUGCCGAACAGCAACACCCACUGGGGUGGGAGCUGAUUGGAUAGACCGGACGUCAAGCAGGGCGCGUCAUGAGGCAACCAGGCGGGGAGGAGGAGGCGAGCUUGGUUCCAGAGCAGACCUAUGAAGAGGAUCAUCCAGCCAUUUGAGAAAGAAAAUUGGCGAUACGCUUUCGGAAGAAGUCUCUCUGUGACCCCAAGUCUCCACUGCUUUUCUCCGGCCGGAGCCGAACCACUGCACGGUGGGUGUUUUCGGAAGAGGCGGCAGUGAGGACUUAAGGGGUCCCUAGAUCCCCUUCCUCUCCUCCCCUCUUUUCCCCUCACCUUCAACCUUCCCUUUCCCCGUCUCCACCUAGGCACAUCCCGCUUUUCCGCUUUGGCUAGUGUCCUUGAUGCUGACCCAUAGUCCAGAUGUGAGGGCUGUGCUGCUGAUGGAACCUGCCCUUGCCCCCUUGCCUGAACUCCUAAAUCUCUGCCCCCUAACUAAACCUGGUGCUUUUUGCAUUUUGGGGUGCAUUUUUUCAGUGCCUAGUAGAAGGUCAAUUGUUUAUUUAUUGUCUCCCUGCUGAGCUGUUUGCAUUGCCUUCCCAUCCCCAGCCUCGAACUCUGCCACACAACACCUCCACCGACUGCAGUAAGGUACUACACUAAGCGGUGUGGCUGAGGCGCGCUUUGUAGUGGCUGAAGAACUAGAUUAGCAAUGCUUUUCCUGGGGAGCUCAAAUGAUGGUGGAGUUGAGAUCUAGGGGCGGGGGAGGAACGGGAGAGCUCGGGUCUGGUGUGUGUCUGCUCCCAGCGAUCAUUUGAGUCUAACGGUAAAAGUGCCCACUGCCUGAGACAGAGGGUAAGGAAUCUUGGAGCUGGGGCAGCGAGG